rnacentral:rRNA from 1 species
AGUGAACGCUGGCGGUAGGCCUAACACAUGCAAGUCGAACGGCAGCACAGUAAGAGCUUGCUCUUACGGGUGGCGAGUGGCGGACGGGUGAGGAAUACAUCGGAAUCUACUUUUUCGUGGGGGAUAAAGUAGGGCUACUUCCGCUAAUACCGCAUACGACCUACGGGUGAGAGCAGGGGAUCUUCGGACCUUGCGUGAUUGCAUGAGUCGAUGUCUGAUUAGCUAGUUGGCGGGGUACAGGCCCACUAAGGCGACGAUCCGUAGCUGGUCUGAGAGGGUGAUCAGCCACACUGAGACUGAGACACGGUCCAGACUCCUACGGGAGGCAGCAGUGGGGAAUAUUGGACAAUGGGCGCAAGCCUGAUCCAGCCAUACCGCGUGGGUGAAGAAGGCCUUCGGGUUGUAAAGCCCUUUUGUUGGGGAAGAAAAGCAGCAGGUUAAUACCCCGCUGUUCUGACGGUACCCGAAGAAUAAGCACCGGCUAACUUCGUG